CCAUCAUGGCACAGAUCUGUGUGAUUCUGCUGAGCCUCCUGCUUUUGUAUGACGUGUUCUUCGUCUUCAUCACUCCUUUCUUCACAAAGAAUGGAGUGAGCAUCAUGGUGCAGGUGGCUCUGGGCCCGGAUGCAUCGGGAGAGAAGACGCAAGGUAACAUGGUGGAGGUCCCGGCUGAACCCCAGGCUCCCUCUGAGAAAGUAAGGCUUGAUUUGUUCACCACCCACUUCUUCUCUUAAAGCCACACCAUGAGGUGG